rnacentral:rRNA from 1 species
UACGUAGGGGGCAAGCGUUGUCCGGAAUCAUUGGGCGUAAAGAGCGUGUAGGCGGCCAGAAAAGUCCGCUGUGAAAACUCGAGGCUCAACUUCGAGCUGUCGGUGGAAACUUUCUGGCUAGAGUCCGGAAGAGGAGAAUGGAAUUCCUGGUGUAGCGGUGAAAUGCGCAGAUAUCAGGAAGAACACCGGUGGCGAAGGCGGGUCUCUGGGCCGAAACUGACGCUGAGGAGCGAAAGCGUGGGGGAGCAAACAGG